AGAUUGAACGCUGGCGGCAUGCCUUACACAUGCAAGUCGAACGGCAGCACGGGAGCAAUCCUGGUGGCGAGUGGCGAACGGGUGAGUAAUAUAUCGGAACGUGCCCAGUCGUGGGGGAUAACGUAGAGAAAUUUACGCUAAUACCGCAUACGAUCCAAGGAUGAAAGCGGGGGACCGUAAGGCCUCGCGCGACUGGAGCGGCUGAUAUCAGAUUAGCUUGUUGGUGAGGUAAAAGCUCACCAAGGCGACGAUCCGUAACUGGUCUGAGAGGAUGAUCAGUCACACUGGAACUGAGACACGGUCCAGACUCCUACGGGA
rnacentral:rRNA from 1 species